GGGCCGGUCGUCUAGUGGGAGGAUACAGACCUAGAACGGUGGUGGUCCCGGGUUCGAAUCCCGGCCGGUCCACCA
rnacentral:tRNA from 2 species